rnacentral:rRNA from 1 species
UACGUAGGGGGCAAGCGUUAUCCGGAUUUACUGGGUGUAAAGGGAGCGUAGACGGCGAUGCAAGCCAGAUGUGAAAGCCCGGGGCUCAACCCCGGGACUGCAUUUGGAACUGUGUGGCUGGAGUGUCGGAGAGGCAGGCGGAAUUCCUAGUGUAGCGGUGAAAUGCGUAGAUAUUAGGAGGAACACCAGUGGCGAAGGCAGCUUACUAAGCCAUAACUGACACUGAAGCACGAAAGCGUGGGGAGCAAAAAGG